CCUUUUCCGUAUCUACACAUGCAAGUCGACGGCAGCACAGGAGAGCUUGCUCUCUGGGUGGCGAGUGGCGGACGGGUGAGGAAUACAUCGGAAUCUACCUUUUCGUGGGGGAUAACGUAGGGAAACUUACGCUAAUACCGCAUACGACCUUCGGGUGAAAGCAGGGGACCUUCGGGCCUUGCGCGGAUAGAUGAGCCGAUGUCGGAUUAGCUAGUUGGCGGGGUAAAGGCCCACCAAGGCGACGAUCCGUAGCUGGUCUGAGAGGAUGAUCAGCCACACUGGAACUGAGACACGGUCCAGACUCCUACGGGAGGCAGCAGUGGGGAAUAUUGGACAAUGGGCGCAAGCCUGAUCCAGCCAUACCGCGUGGGUGAAGAAGGCCUUCGGGUUGUAAAGCCCUUUUGUUGGGAAAGAAAAGCAAUCGAUUAAUACUCGGUUGUUCUGACGGUACCCAAAGAAUAAGCACCGGCUAACUUCGUGCCAGCAGCCGCGGUAAUACGAAGGGUGCAAGCGUUACUCGGAAUUACUGGGCGUAAAGCGUGCGUAGGUGGUUGUUUAAGUCUGUUGUGAAAGCCCUGGGCUCAACCUGGGAAUUGCAGUGGAUACUGGGCAACUAGAGUGUGGUAGAGGGUAGUGGAAUUCCCGGUGUAGCAGUGAAAUGCGUAGAGAUCGGGAGGAACAUCCAUGGCGAAGGCAGCUACCUGGGACCAAACACUGACACUGAGGCACGAAAAGCGUGGGGAGCAAACCAGGAUUAGAUACCCUGGGUAGUCCCACGCCCUAAACGAUGCGAACUGGAUGUGGGGUGCAAUUUGGUCACUCAGUAUCGAAGCUUAAACG
rnacentral:rRNA from 1 species